UCUAUUUGUCUUUUUUUACAAAAUAGAUAGAAAAAACUUUUCUGAGUUUUGUUAUUGUAUUGUGACAAAAUAAAUAUAUAUAAAUAUAUUAAAGGGUUGAUUAAGGGUUGAUGGGGAAAAAAAUCCCCAUCUUAUAUCUUAUAAAUAACAAAAAUAGACUCAAAAAAAAGGUGAUGAAAUAUUCUCUAUAUAUAGUUUUUCAAACAAUAAGGGAAUCUUUUCAUUAGUGUUUGCCUUGGUUGAGAAGGAGUGUAUAGGUGCAUGGUCAUGGUUCAUGGCUUGUAUUCGUAAGCAUGUCACACAGAGGAUGGGUUUAUGCAUUAUUUCUGAUAGACAUGCGGGUAUUUUAGCAACCAUGGAAGAGCCGGAGUGGCAACCACUUUAUGCCCAUUAAAGGUUUUGCUUACGUCACUUGCUUAGCAACUUUAAUCGUGCUAUGGGUAAUGUUCAACUGAAGAAGUUGUUUGGUAGAACUAUUGAGCAAAGAUAACAAGCUAAGUUAAUGAAUGGCUUGAAGGCAAUUGGAACUGCAAAACGAGAGGCAAUUUUCUGGAUUGAUGACGUAGGUGAGAUGUAUAAGUGGUCGUUGUGUCAUGAUGGAGAUCAUAGGUAUGGCGUUACUAACACGAACUUAGCUGAAGUUUUCAACUAUGUGAUGAAGGGUUGUGCGUUUCUUACCUUUGAUAACACGAGUUGAAUUCACCUUCUAUCGGGUAAACGAUUAUUUUGUUCAAAGACGUGAACGUGCUAGUGCAUGGUUAUUUGGAGGACACAUGUACACAUCGCAUGCCACCAAGAUUAUCAAUAUAAACACCCGAGAAGGCAAACCUUACAGAAGUGUGGGCGUGGGAGCAUAUUCAGAUCGGCCAACCUUACAGAAGUGUUGGUCGUGGUGAAGUUGCUCAUCGCAGCAACCCUCACUCGAUGUUGCAUAUGGAUUGCGGUGGAAUUUUGCGCGCCGAACGCGCAAACACACAGGGACCUGUCUAGGAUUCUACUGGGAUCAGUUAGACCUGCUGUGACCCAACCAGUUUUUGUGGGACCCGUACCCUGCCGAAGCCUACGCAGCUGUGCCUGAGCACUCGGGGAUUCAGUCAAGUGCGUGGAGGGCUUCUGUGCCACUCAUAUGCUUCGAUAUUGUUGAAGUACAUCUACCGGAGCGCGUACUGCGCCAAUAUGGGUUGGUAUAGGGCAUUCCACCACCUUGCGACACUGAACCCGAGUUGCACCUUAUUUCGUGCAAGAUUUAGAGUACGACGAAUGGGACGGAGAUCAACGGGCGCCACAUCGCUCGUUGGGAUCAGAGAUUGGAGCUGCUAGCCCAAGGUGUGCCAAUCGAUGCUGUUGGCGCACCUACUACACCUGACUACAUGUCGUAGUUCCUCUCUAUCACUCGCCGAUGGAUGACACCACGUGGCAUCAUUGCAGCGGCAUAGUAUGCUCCUGCUGCGCCUAUAAUGACCCAAUUUCCACAAGGUGUGGCAGCCGAAGCCAGCCGUGAUCCGGUCUAGCCACGAGGAGUCGGUACGGGAGAUUGUGCAAGGCAUGCUCCUCGGCACGCAGUUCCAGCACUUUAUACCGGAAGUCGCUGCGGAGUCAUCACCGGCUACCGCUGAUGUGCACGUCUCAUCUCCUCCUCAUGACGUUCAUUUGAAGGAGAUGGACUUGUCAUACCCCGGUGACGUUGCGGGGACCUCGCAGGCUGGGCUAUCCCAACCAUCACAGUACCAGUCCCCUCCGCUACCAAAGUGACACACGAACGCUUCUUACCGUAAGAGGCAUAGGAGACCAACUCAGUUGGAUAAGAUAGAUGAGGGUGAUGAGC